rnacentral:lncRNA from 1 species
GUGGAUGACCUCUUCCUCCGAAUCAACAGGCAAUUCUAAAAAUGGUUUAAGACGUUGACCAUUAACUUUAAAAACAUUACCAUUUUUAGGAUCCUGAAUUUCAACAGCACCAUGAGGAAAAACAACUUGAACAAUGUAAGGACCAUCCCAUCUAGAACGCAACUUACCGGGAAACAAAUGAAGCCUAGAAUUGUACAGAAGAACUUUUUGGCCGGGAGAAAAGGAUUUUCUC